rnacentral:rRNA from 1 species
UACAGAGGUCCCAAGCGUUGUUCGGAUUCACUGGGCGUAAAGGGUGCGUAGGUGGUGAGGUAAGUCGGAUGUGAAAGCUCGGAGCUCAACUCCGAAAUGGCAUUGGAAACUACCUUGCUAGAGGGUUGGAGGGGGGACUGGAAUGCUUGGUGUAGCAGUGAAAUGCGUAGAUAUCAAGCGGAACACCAGUGGCGAAGGCGAGUCCCUGGACAACUCCUGACACUGAGGCACGAAAGCUAGGGGAGCAAACAGG